UCAAAAGCUCGUAUGAGAAGUCAGAUACUGGCAAAGUCCCCAAAAAAAUCAGAAGAAAAUGAACGCAGAAGACGCUCAACAGUGUAACGAGAUGGGAGACCAGAGGGAAAACCUUUCCUCCUCCGAACAGUCACUCGAUAUCGAGACCAUCAGAAGUCGAAUGAAAAAGCUCUCAGAAAUUCACACAAGCUCCAAAGAUAUUUCCGAAAUGGCCCCUACAGAUUUGGAGAAAUUAAUGGAAGAUUGUGUUCUCCAUCUUGGGAAUUCAAUGAAGCAAAUUACUUCUGAGUUGUUGGGUUUUGAUUCCUUAGGACCUGAAGAAUUGGAUGCCUAUUUGGAAAAUGCAACGGAAGAGCUAAAACUGGUGGAAGCUGAAAAUGCGAAGAUCUCUAACGAACUUGAUGUUCUGACCAAAAUCUAUAUCAAAGAUUCCACUCAAUUGGAGAGUGAUCUUGACAGGUUGAAUCACUUAUUGGAGCUCAUUGAGUUGCAGGGUCUGCAAAAGCUACAAGGGAAUGAACAUAUUGGGUGCUCAAUAUCUGAAGCCAACAAAAACAUUAAGGCACCUGAAGACUAUAAUAUUGAGAUUUGGGAACUUGAUCAUCAGAUUGAGAAGAAAAAAAUUGCUUUAAGCACUUUGCAGGAUCUUGAAUCCAUUUUUAGAAGGGUUGAAGCAAAUCAACAGAUUGAAGACACAAUGACAGGUCUGAAGAUCAUUGACUUCGAAGGAAAUUAUAUCAGGUUGUCUCUGACGACAUUCAUUCCAAUCUCAGAGGACUUAGCUUGCCAACAGAAGAUGGAGAACAGUGAGCCAUCAAGACAGGAACAUGAGUUAUUAAUAGAAGUUUUUGAUGGGACUAUGGAGUUAAAGAAUGUAGAGAUAUUCCCAAAUGAUGUAUUCAUCGGUGAACUUAUUGAUGCUGCAAAGUCUUUCAGGCAGUUUUCUUCAUCAUUUUCAUUAUUUGAGAUAAGGUCUUCAUUGGAAUGGUUUGUAAGAGAAGUGCAAGACCGAAUCCGUUUAUGCUCUCUAAGGAGAUUAGUAGUGAAGUGCGCAAACAAAUCAAGACACACCUUUGAAUAUUCGGACAGAGAUGACACAGUAACAUCUCAUAUGGUUGGUGGAAUUGAUGCUUUCAUAAAGAUAUCUCAAGGUUGGCCAUUGUCAAAUUUGCCAUUAAAACUGAUAUCGCUCAAGUGCUCAGAUCAUUCGAAGGGAAUUUCAUUAAGCUUUUUCUGCAAGGUUGAGUUUUUAUUAUUAGGAAUUGGUGAACAACCUGGAUGUGAAUAUGCGGCUAAAUCUUUCAAGCUUUGUGGAUGCUAUUGAAGAAAUAUUACUCCAGCAAACACGUUCAAACCUCGAAUGCAAGCAUGUUUGUCAACAAUGAAUAUCUACCCUAAUGUUGGUACAAGCCGAUCGAGCUUUGGAACGUGAUGCUUUGUCAAUCCAGUCAAUUCAUCUUUUCAAGAUUUAUCUGUCAAGAAAAUUAACUUUUUUAAGGGGUCUGGACAUAGAAGCCAGUGGAAGCAUUGGCCUUUCAUAGCCAUCAGUUGGCAGGAAUCAAUAUGAACAACUUUGAAUAAAUAGAUAAAUGAGAGGGAGAGGGAGAGGGAGAGGGAGAGUGAGUAAGCAAGAAGUAUUAUUGAUGUCCUCUCCGUAUCUGUUGUCCUCAUAUUGAGUAUGUAAUGUUCUCUGCUAUUUGGUUUGAUUAUCACCCAUGCACCUGAAAAUGUAUAGAACUGCUUUGAACAUUAGAGGUGUGUUAUUCCUUUCA